CUCCAUUUCCAUAUCUCUAGAACAGAGGGGAUGAUGUGUCACAGAGUUCAAGGUACCAGAACCACAGAAAGCAUCUGGAACAGCCCUCCGGUGGCAUUUUUGGUGAUGGUUCCUUAUAUCCUCGCUCCAAACGAUUUGAGGCCAGUGGUUCUUACUGAGGAGUCUCCUCUGGUGCUGGAGCUGGCAUCUGGGAUCUCCGUGGGCCUGUUAGAUCCUAGACCUACAGAUCGCUCAGCUAAAAGGGACCUGGGAGAUCGAAUGGAGCCCGUUAAAUCACGUCACGGAGAAAACGACUGACUUUGCUACUUCAGUGAAAUUAUCACAUCAGUCACCAGCUCAUCUCCCAUGCCUCCGACAACAGAGCGAGGGAGGGUCGGGGGCGCCGCGAAUGGCUCCUGAGACCCACUGAGGACGUGCAUCACAUAAUGUAAGCUCCAGGAGGGCAAGGACUUCAUCUUGUUCACUUGAAGCUGAAGCCCCAGCAUGUACAAUCCCGUGCUGAGUUGCUGGUUCAUCCCCAGCAUGUACAAUCCCGUGCUGAGUUGCUGGUUCAUCCCCAACAUGUACAAUUCCGUGCUGGGUCGCUGGUUCACCAGCAGAGAGGAGCAUUGAUUCUCUUUGGAAAAGAUAAUCUAUCUACACCCCUGGAACUGUGGCACAGUCUCACGGAGGGCCUGCUUCCAUUCGGGUCAACGGCGAAAAAACGAAUAAACGUGAGCCGCCAUCAGGUGAGGACAUGGAAGCACAGGGAGGUUAUGCCACUCGCCCAAAGACAACUAAUCAGUGACAGCUGAGACUUGGACUGCAGAACCUACACUUUAUAACUAUUUUACAGUUCUGGGCGUCACGGAAUCUUGCAUGAAGAGCCCCUAACCUGGCCCGGGUGGAGGUCAGGGAGGUCUUCCUGGAAGAGGGGGUUCUUGGCAGCAACUUGCUGGAUUUGGUGUUCCCUGUUGGUUGGUCAGUCGCUAGACAGUUAUUCACUGAGCUCUGAGAACAGGCUGGGCCCUGCUCCAGGCCUUGGUUGGACAGCAGGGAACAAGGCUGGGGGAAAUGACUCCCGAGAAAAUGGACAUGUGUGACCCUGGGUUCUGGGAAGGCAGGGAGGGAAGACAAGUACCAGAGGCACAGCGAGGGUCUCUCUGGAGCCACAGGGAGAGGGGAGGGAUGCACAGGCCUGGUGUGCUGCAGGGCCUGAGCCUGUGGCUGCUUCUGGCCAGGAAAGAAGCCAACGUUACUUAAAGAAGUUAUUCAUGUAACCAAAUACCACCUGUUCCCCAAAACCCUAUGGAAAUAAAAAAUUAAAAAAAAUAAAAAAGAGUAAGCAACA
rnacentral:lncRNA from 1 species